CAGAUGCCAAGAGGGCCUUAGCCCAGACAGAGCACCGACUACAUGGUGUCCAACUGACCCUGAGGCCAGCCCCACCACGUGCCCCUGAACGUGUGCUUCUCCAACACCUGCCACCCGGCACUUCACCUCUGAGCCUAGAGCAACAUGUUCAGGCCCUACUGUGUGCAGCAGGGCACCCCGUGCAGACUUGCUGUGUCCUGGCCAGUCCUCGGCAGGACUGUGCCCUGGUCCAGUUAUCCAUGCCUCUUUCUGAGGCAGACGUCUGUGCCCUGGUGGAACAGGCCCGAAAUCUGCCCCUAAAUGGAGCCACCGUGUCCUUGGCCUGGGUGCCUCAGACCCGAGCAGUACGUGUGGUGGAUAGCCCUGCUUCUGUGGACCUGCUGUUGUUGGAACUCUACCU
rnacentral:lncRNA from 1 species